UAAGACGAGCCACACGAUUCUUGGAAUGAAAUAAUUGCAUUUCCAUUAAACUAAGUCUCAAUGUCAUAAUUAUUGCAUUUUACGCAAACUUAUUCUAUCCCCUAAUAUAUGCGUAAUAAUAUAUCCUAAGUUUAUUAAACUCUGUAACAAUCUCACAUCGACAUUAUCUCGAUUAGUUUGAAGCGAUUUGAAGUUUCGAACAGUUAUCAUUAGAGUGUGACAAUAAUGUGAAACGAAAGAAGCAGCAAGAGCUUCAUAGUGAGCUAUAAUAUUAACGAAUAUAUGAGACCUGUGAAUGUUGUAUAAAAGUGUUGUAUUUAUUCAGAGCGAAUUGUCGUAAAGGUUAUUUACUACGACGUUUAAGUACAGCUAUUUUUUUUAUAGUAAAAGAUGUGGAUUUACUCCCUGCUCGCUAUUUUCGCGACGUUUGAUUUUGCGACGGCUUCGUCAGGGUUUGAUUUCGGAGAUACCUUAGCACUGAUUCUCGGAUUGAUCAUCGGAAUUGUUGGAUUUUUUGCUUGCAUGGGUGCUUAUGCACGACGUCGAAACCUUUUGCAACCAUUAUGAUUGCAUGCCUCUCCGGAAUUCGUCACAUAGAUAUCUGACACAUUUAAAGUUAAGGAAGAAAAUGUUUCAAAUGACUGGAGUUGAGUAAUUUAAAGUUUUACAUUUUCAUAAAAAUUUCUUUGGAACUAAUAAACUUAAAUGAACUAGAUACUUUUAAGUCGAUUCAAAGAAUGCAUGAUUUUUUUAAUGUUUAUAGCUCAUCUUGCAAUAAACAUUUAAGAAAUUAUGCGAUUACUUGAAUCAUUUUAAAAGUAGUACAUUUAUUUUUUUCUGUAA